rnacentral:tRNA from 1 species
GAGGGUAUAGCUCAGUGGAAGAGCACAUGCCUAGCAUAGUCAAGGUCCUGGGUUCAAGCCCCAGUUCCUCUU